rnacentral:rRNA from 1 species
GACGAACGCUGGCGGCGUGCUUAACACAUGCAAGUCGGACGGAAAGGCCCCCUUGUGGGGUACUCGAGUGGCGAACGGGUGAGUAACACGUGAGUAACCUACCCUUGACUUUGGGAUAACUUCAGGAAACUGGGGCUAAUACCGGAUAGGAGCUCCUGCUGCAUGGUGGGGGUUGGAAAGUUUCGGCGGUUGGGGAUGGACUCGCGGCUUAUCAGCUUGUUGGUGGGGUAGUGGCUCACCAAGGCUUUGACGGGUAGCCGGCCUGAGAGGGUGACCGGCCACAUUGGGACUGAGAUACGGCCCAGACUCCUACGGGAGGCAGCAGUGGGGAAUAUUGCACAAUGGGCGGAAGCCUGAUGCAGCAACGCCGCGUGCGGGAUGACGGCCUUCGGGUUGUAAACCGCUUUCGCCUGUGACGAAGCGUGAGUGACGGUAAUGGGUAAAGAAGCACCGGCUAACUACGUG